rnacentral:rRNA from 1 species
UACAGAGGAGCCAAGCGUUGUCCGGAUUGACUGGGCGUAAAGCGCACGCAGGCGGACGCGCGCGUGGGGUGUGAAAUCUGGCCGCUUAACGGCCAGGCGCCAUCCCAUACGGCGCGUCUGGAGUGAUGCAGAGGUCGAUGGAAUUGCCGGUGUAGUAGUGAAAUGCGUAGAGAUCGGCAGGAACACCCAGGGGGAAACCAGUCGACUGGGCAUCUACUGACGCUGAGGUGCGAGAGCGUGGGGAGCGAACCGG